UGUUUGCCAGCGAGUNAUGUCGGGANCUCCAGGGAGACUNNCGGNGAUAAACCGGAGGAAGGUGGGGACGACGUCAAGUCAUCAUGGCCCUUACGAGUAGGGCUACACACGUGCUACAAUGGCGCAUACAGAGGGCUGCCAACCAGCGAUGGUGAGCGAAUCCCAAAAAGUGCGUCGUAGUCCGGAUUGGAGUCUGCAACUCGACUCCAUGAAGUCGGAAUCGCUAGUAAUCGUGAAUCAGAAUGUCACGGUGAAUACGUUCCCGGGCCUUGUACACACCGNNCNUCNCACCAUGGGAGUGGGCUGCAAAAGAAGUGGGUAGUUAACCNUCGAGGAGGACG
rnacentral:rRNA from 1 species